AGGGGCAGCGGGAUUGAAGCUUGCUUCAAUUGCCGGCGACCGGCGCACGGGUGAGUAACGCGUAUCCAACCUUCCGUACACUCAGGGAUAGCCUUUCGAAAGAAAGAUUAAUACCUGAUGGUAUGAUGAGAUUGCAUGAUAGCAUCAUUAAAGAUUUAUCGGUGUACGAUGGGGAUGCGUUCCAUUAGGUAGUAGGCGGGGUAACGGCCCACCUAGCCAACGAUGGAUAGGGGUCCUGAGAGGAAGGUCCCCCACAUUGGAACUGAGACACGGUCCAAACUCCUACGGGAGGCAGCAGUGAGGAAUAUUGGUCAAUGGACGAGAGUCUGAACCAGCCAAGUAGCGUGAAGGAUGAAGGUCCUACGGAUUGUAAACUUCUUUUAUAAGGGAAUAAACCCUCCCACGUGUGGGAGCUUGUAUGUACCUUAUGAAUAAGCAUCGGCUAACUCCGUGCCAGCAGCCGCGGUAAUACGGAGGAUGCGAGCGUUAUCCGGAUUUAUUGGGUUUAAAGGGAGCGCAGACGGGUCGUUAAGUCAGCUGUGAAAGUUUGGGGCUCAACCUUAAAAUUGCAGUUGAUACUGGCGUCCUUGAGUGCGGUUGAGGUGUGCGGAAUCCGUGGUGUAGCGGUGAAAUGCUUAGAUAUCACGAAGAACUCCGAUUGCGAAGGCAGCACACUAAUCCGUAACUGACGUUCAUGCUCGAAAGUGUGGGUAUCAAACAGGAUUAGAUACCCUGGUAGUCCACACGGUAAACGAUGGAUACUCGCUGUUGGCGAUAUACUGUCAGCGGCUUAGCGAAAGCGUU
rnacentral:rRNA from 1 species